rnacentral:rRNA from 1 species
AUUGAACGCUGGCGGCAGGCCUAACACAUGCAAGUCGAGCGGAUGACGGGAGCUUGCUCCUUGAUUCAGCGGCGGACGGGUGAGUAAUGCCUAGGAAUCUGCCUGGUAGUGGGGGACAACGUUUCGAAAGGAACGCUAAUACCGCAUACGUCCUACGGGAGAAAGCAGGGGACCUUCGGGCCUUGCGCUAUCAGAUGAGCCUAGGUCGGAUUAGCUUGUUGGUGAGGUAAUGGCUCACCAAGGCGACGAUCCGUAACUGGUCUGAGAGGAUGAUCAGUCACACUGGAACUGAGACACGGUCCAGACUCCUACGGGAGGCAGCAGUGGGGAAUGUUGGACAAUGGGCGAAAGCCUGAUCCAGCCAUGCCGCGUGUGUGAAGAAGGUCUUCGGAUUGUAAAGCACUUUAAGUUGGGAGGAAGGGUUGUAGAUUAAUACUCUGCAAUUUUGACGUUACCGACAGAAUAAGCACCGGCUAACUCUGUGCCAGCCGCCGCCGUAA